AACGAACGCUGGCGGCAUGCCUAACACAUGCAAGUCGAACGCUUGGUCCUGGUUCGCCGGGGCCGAGAGUGGCGCACGGGUGAGUAGCGCGUGGGAACCUGCCUUUCAGUGGGGGAUAACCGAGGGAAACUUCGGCUAAUACCGCAUGCGCCCCGGCGCAAGCCGGGGGAAAGAUUGAUCGCUGAAAGAGGGGCCCGCGUCCGAUUAGCUGGUUGGUGGGGUAACGGCCUACCAAGGCUGCGAUCGGUAGCUGGUCUGAGAGGAUGAUCAGCCACACUGGGACUGAGACACGGCCCAGACUCCGACGGGAGGCAGCAGUGGGGAAUAUUGGACAAUGGGCGCAAGCCUGAUCCAGCAAUGCCGCGUGAGUGAUGAAGGCCUUCGGGUUGUAAAGCUCUUUCGCCCGCGACGAUGAUGACGGUAGCGGGAGAAGAAGCCCCGGCUAACUUCGUGCCAGCCGCCGCGGUAACAC
rnacentral:rRNA from 1 species